GCUUGUCUCAAAGAUUAAGCCAUGCAUGUCUAAGUAUAAACAAAUCUAUACUGUGAAACUGCGAAUGGCUCAUUAUAUCAGUUAUAGUUUAUUUGAUGGUUCUUGCUACUUGGAUAACCGUAGUAAUUCUAGAGCUAAUACAUGCAUCAAACCCCGACUCACGAAGGGGUGUAUUUAUUAGAUUGAAACCAAUGCAGUCUUCGGGCUGGUAUUGUGUUGAGUCAUAAUAACUGUGCGGAUCGCGUUUUACGCGAUAAAUCGAUUGAGUUUCUGCCCUAUCAGCUUUCGAUGGUAGGGUAUUGGCCUACCAUGGCGUUAACGGGUAACGGAGAAUUAGGGUUCGAUUCCGGAGAGGGAGCCUGAGAGAUGGCUACCACAUCCAAGGAAGGCAGCAGG
rnacentral:rRNA from 1 species